GAGAGGAGAGGAGAGGAGAGGAGAGGAGAGGAGAGGAGAGGAGAGGAGGGGGGUCUGUUGUGUCUCCUCUGAGCCCUGCACCUCAUUGUAACCAACACCCCCCUCAGGCUGUUGUGUCUCCUCUGAGCCCUCUGUGAGAGCCAGUUUCACCAAAACAUCAGCAUUGGAGGGGCAACUGGCCUCUGGGACUGGUGCCAUUGUGCAUCCGAUGGCUUCGUUUGUGCUGUCAACAGCAGCACAGUUGAGGGUUUGCCACAUACUGUAUAAUGUGUUACGUGUAAAGGCUCUUUGGAUGAAAUCGUCUCUAGGCCCCAGUACUAAAAAAAAACAUUAUCAUGGUAUGAUGGUGAUUGCUAGCAGCGUCCGUUAGGUUAACUGUUUACUAGCUGUGUUAACCUUCUCCUCCUUUUAGGUUAACUAGCGUUGAAAGGACUAAGGCCGGGGUUACAUUCAAGCUGCGAAAUAGUGCACUGUAACAGACUUUUAAAGGUGUUUUCCCAUUGAGCAGUAUUUACCGCGAAUACCAUCUCCGCAAAAACACGCAAACAUCGCUUUUAAAAGCUGCAUUGUGGACGGCUCUCCAAUGAUUUAAUCCUGGCCACGAAGUGUCUUUCUCCCAGGCCACAGCAGAGAAGAGCAGGGCGAGGUUAAAAUGGGUUAGACCAGACUAGACGAGAGAAGAGCAGGGCGAGGUUAAGAUGGGUUAGACCAGACUAGACGAGAGAAGAGCAGGGCGAGGUUAAGAUGGGUUAGACCAGACUAGACGAGAGCAGAGCAAGGUGAGGUUAAGAUGGGUUAGACCAGACUAGACGAGAGAAGAGCAGGGCGAGGUUAAGAUGGGUUAGACCAGACUAGACGAGAGAAGAACAGGGCGAGGUUAAGAUGGGUUAGACCAGACUAGACGAGAGCAGAGCCAGGUUAAGAUGAGUUAGACCAGACUAGACGAGAGCAGAGCAGAGCCAGGUUAAGAUGAGUUAGAUAGACUAGAUGAGAGCAGAGCAGAGCCAGGUUAAGAUGGGUUAGACCAGACUAGACGAGAGCAGAGCAGAGACAGGUUAAGAUGAGUUAGAUAGACUAGAUGAGAGCAGAGCAGAGCCAGGUUAAGAUGGGUUAGGCCAGACUAGACGAGAGCAGAGCAGAGCCAGGUCAAGAUGGGUUAGACCAGACUAGACGAGAGCAGAGCAGAGCCAGGUUAAGAUGAGUUAGAUAGACUAGAUGAGAGCAGAGCAGAGCCAGGUUAAGAUGGGUUAGACCAGACUAGACGAGAGCAGAGCAGAGCCAGGUUAAGAUGAGUUAGAUAGACUAGGUGAGAGCAGAGCAGAGCCAGGUUAAGAUGGGUUAGACCAGACUAGACGAGAGCAGAGCAGAGCCAGGUUAAGAUGAGUUAGAUAGACUAGACGAGAGCAGAGCAGAGCCAGGUUAAGAUGGGUUAGACCAGACUAGACGAGAGCAGAGCAGAGCCAGGUUAAGAUGAGUUAGGCCAGACUAGACGAGAGCAGAGCAGAGCCAGGUCAAGAUGGGUUAGACCAGACUAGACGAGAGCAGAGCAGAGCCAGGUUAAGAUGAGUUAGAUAGACUAGAUGAGAGCAGAGCAGAGCCAGGUCAAGAUGGGUUAGACCAGACUAGACGAGAGCAGAGCAGAGCCAGGUUAAGAUGAGUUAGGCCAGACUAGACGAGAGCAGAGCAGAGCCAGGUCAAGAUGGGUUAGACCAGACUAGACGAGAGCAGAGCAGAGCCAGGUUAAGAUGAGUUAGAUAGACAAGAUGAGAGCAGAGCAGAGCCAGGUCAAGAUGGGUUAGACCAGACUAGACGAGAGCAGAGCAGAGCCAGGUUAAGAUGAGUUAGACCAGACUAGACGAGAGCAGAGCAGAGCCAGGUUAAGAUGAGUUAGACCAGACUAGACGAGAGCAGAGCAGAGACAGGUUAAGAUGAGUUAGAUAGACUACUGGAGGGUAGGUUAAUCCUAUUGAUGUGACUGUUUCAUCGUGUUCACAGUGAUUACACUCUAACUGCUACUCCAUUAAAGAAAUGACUUGAAGACUGGAUGUGUAAACACAGGACACCUGGCCUUGUUUACGUUGUCUUGUUGUUGUUCUUCUAGGUCCUCUCUGUUCCUCAUGCUAUUAUUGGCUUUAACUAGCUACGGUAAAUAUGUGACUAUAAUGGAUAUGAACAGUGUUUUAACUAGCUACAGUAUAUAUGUGACUAUAAUGGAUAUGAACAGUGUUUUAACUAGCUACAGUAUAUAUGUGACUAUAAUGGAUAUGAACAGUGUUUUAACUAGCUACAGUAUAUAUGUGGCUAUAAUGGAUAUGAACAGUGUUUUAACUAGCUACAGUAUAUAUGUGGCUAUAAUGGAUAUGAACAGUGUUUUAACUAGCUACAGUAUAUAUGUGACUAUAAUGGAUAUGAACAGUGUUUUAACUAGCUACAGUAUAUAUGUGGCUAUAAUGGAUAUGAACAGUGUUUUAACUAGCUACAGUAUAUAUGUGACUAUAAUGGAUAUGAACAGUGUUUUAACUAGCUACAGUAUAUAUGUGGCUAUAAUGGAUAUGAACAGUGUUUUAACUAGCUACAGUAUAUAUGUGACUAUAAUGGAUAUGAACAGUGUUUUAACUAGCUACAGUAUAUAUGUGACUAUAAUGGAUAUGAACAGUGUUUUAACUAGCUACAGUAUAUAUGUGGCUAUAAUGGAUAUGAACAGUGUUUUAACUAGCUACAGUAUAUAUGUGACUAUAAUGGAUAUGAACAGUGUUUUAACUAGCGACAGUAUAUAUGUGACUAUAAUGGAUAUGAACAGUGUUUUAACUAGCUACAGUAUAUAUGUGACUAUAAUGGGUAUAAACAGUGUUUUAACUAGCUACAGUAUAUAUGUGACUAUAAUGGAUAUGAACAGUGUUUUAACUAGCUACAGUAUAUAUGUGACUAUAAUGGAUAUGAACAGUGUUUUAACUAGCUACAGUAUAUAUGUGACUGUAUGGGCUACUAUAUGGAGGUAAUAUAACUCAGGCCCUAUAUGGACUACUAUAUGGAGGUAAUAUAACUCAGGCCCUAUAUGGACUACUAUAUGGAGGUAAUAUAACUCAGGCCCUAUAUGGACUACUAUAUGGAGGUAAUAUAACUCAGGCCCUAUAUGGACUACUAUAUGGAGGUAAUAUAACUCAGGCCCUAUAUGGACUACUAUAUGGCGGUAAUAUAACUCAGGCCCUAUAUGGACUACUAUAUGGAGGUAAUAUAACUCAGGCCCUAUAUGGACUACUAUAUGGAGGUAAUAUAACUCAGGCCCUAUAUGGACUACUAUAUGGCGGUAAUAUAACUCAGGCCCUAUAUGGACUACUAUAUGGAGGUAAUAUAACUCAGGCCCUAUAUGGACUACUAUAUGGAGGUAAUAUAACUCAGGCCCUAUAUGGACUACUAUAUGGAGGUAAUAUAACUCAGGCCCUAUAUGGACUACUAUAUGGAGGUAAUAUAACUCAGGCCCUAUAUGGACUACUAUAUGGAGGUAAUAUAACUCAGGCCCUAUAUGGACUACUAUAUGGAGGUAAUAUAACUCAGGCCCUAUAUGGACUACUAUAUGGAGGUAAUGUAACUCAGGCCCUAUAUGGACUACUAUUUGAAGG